rnacentral:lncRNA from 1 species
CAUCUUCCUCUGACGCUUAAUAUGCCUCUGAACUUCACAGGAGGGGAUCCCUGAGCUGGGUACAUGGAGAAUUCAUGGUGACCUGCCUCUUCUCUUCCAGCACCCCUUCUUAUGGUAGCCAUGGAGAUCAAAGUUACCCCAGCAGGACUGACACCAUACACAGCAGUGGCACUUACCCUCAGCCCUGUAUGCUGAAGAUUGGCAGUGGCCCUCCUGAUGCCCACUUGGUCACCCUGAAUAUGAGACCUG